GUAUGUCAGUCACCAUGGUGGCAUACAACAGAGCAGAGCGGCGGCGGCUCUAUCUUGACUUUUAGCUCCAUCAAAAUGCAAACAUAGUAGAUUUUCUCAGUGAGAGGACGGGAGUCUUCCUCUGAUAAUGGGCGUGAGCUGGUUGCUGACGGGUUAGCCGCUUGCUAUUUCCUCACUUUUUUGUUUGCUGGAUCCUUACAUGGAAUUUCUCCCCCGUCGCUAGCAGAGCAGAAUGCUGAAGAGACAAGGAAUGGCUUUAAUGAACGCUGGCUUGAAUAAAGGGACAACACUUUCUACGCUAAGAAAAUAACUCUUAAGAGGGGGAGUUUGACCGGCGCUUUUAAAGGAAGUUUCCUCCCCGGUGGGGACCGGUGUUGGCAGCCGGAUUCGGCACGGGCAGCAGAAAGACAGACACCCUGAGGAGACUGCUCGGCUGUCUGGCUCCAGUCGUGGCCUGGCUCAGGGCACUCCCAGCUUACCCGCUAGCAUCUGAGCACAGGCAACGAGAAUAAAGCAAGACAAUAGGGGGGACUUGUUUUGUAUAUAUCCUGCCCCUGGAUAGAGGUAAUUUUAAGGAUAAGGAAUUCCACAUCCUCUAGACGGCUUCUUCCAAAACAAUGGCGUCUUACGUGGAUAACAGCUUUCGGCAGGCUGUGAUGAAAAAUCCGGCUGAACGGACGCAACAGGACCUGGAGAUCGUCUACUCUUAUCUCCAUGGGAUGGAGGCCUUAUCCAACCUGCGAGAGCACCAGUUGAGGAUCAUGUGUGAGACGGUGCGUUAUGAGAGACAUGAGGCCAAUGAAGUGCUAUACUAGAUACAAAUCGGUGUUAUUGAUGGGAAGAAACAUGCCAACUGCGUACAGAAGAGUAACCCCAGUGACUUAAUAAAAAUAAAUGUCAUUA